GGAUGUAAGGGCAAUGUGGCUUUGGCAUUUUGUCCCACUCUUCAUAAGGGUUGUCUGUCUCGUUAGGCAGGAAUCUCCUUCCUCAACAGUCUGUGUGCAUCCCUUCCUAAACCGAACAUCCAGUUGAAGAGGACAACCUUACCUGAUUAAGAAGGACCAUUCUUCUGUCAAGGACACAUAAGUAGCUCCCCUGCUAGAACUGCCAAACAAGCUCCCUAUCCUCCUAAGGCUCUGCUCCUUGAGGCUGGUUCUGCCCAGGACCCAGGUGCCAGCAGGCAACCCUUUACA
rnacentral:snRNA from 1 species